CCUACGGGCGGCAGCAGUGAGGAAUAUUGGUCAAUGGACGAGAGUCUGAACCAGCCAAGUAGCGUGAAGGAUGACUGCCCUAGGGGUUGAAAACUUCUUUUACAUGGGAAUAAAACAGGGUAUGCAUACACUCUUGUAUGUACCAUAUGAGUAAGGAAAGGCUAACUCAGUGCCAGCAGCCGCGGUAAUACGGAGGAUCCGAGCGUUAUCCGGAUUUAUUGGGUUUAAAGGGAGCGUAGGUGGAUUGUUAAGUCAGUUGUGAAAGUUUGCGGCUCAACCGUAAAAAUGCAGUUGAAACUGGCAGUCUUGAGUACAGUAGAGGUGAGCGGAAUUCGUGGUGUAGCGGUGAAAUGCUUAGAUAUCACGAAGAACUCCGAUUGCGAAGGCAGCUCACUGGACUGCAACUGACACUGAUGCUCGAAAGUGUGGGUAUCAAACAGGAUUAGAUACCCGAGUAGUC
rnacentral:rRNA from 1 species